GGACGAACGCUGGCGGCGUGCCUAAUACAUGCAAGUCGAGCGAAUCAAUGGGAGCUUGCUCCCUGAGAUUAGCGGCGGACGGGUGAGUAACACGUGGGUAACCUGCCUGUAAGACUGGGAUAACUUCGGGAAACCGGAGCUAAUACCGGAUAGUUUCUUUUCUCGCAUGAGAGGAGAUGGAAAGAUGGUUUCGGCUAUCACUUACAGAUGGACCCGCGGCGCAUUAGCUAGUUGGUGAGGUAACGGCUCACCAAGGCAACGAUGCGUAGCCGACCUGAGAGGGUGAUCGGCCACACUGGGACUGAGACACGGCCCAGACUCCUACGGGAGGCAGCAGUAGGGAAUCUUCCGCAAUGGACGAAAGUCUGACGGAGCAACGCCGCGUGAGCGAAGAAGGCCUUCGGGUCGUAAAGCUCUGUUGUUAGGGAAGAACAAGUACCAGAGUAACUGCUCGUACCUUGACGGUACCUAACCAGAAAGCCCCGGGUAACUACGUGCCACAGCCCGCGGUAAUACNUAAGGUGGCAAGCGUUGUCCCGGAAUUAUUGG
rnacentral:rRNA from 1 species